AAGGACCAGGAGGCCGUUGACGUGCGUGAACCAGUGCUUAACAGAACCAGGGAGUGGGUGACAGCCGCUCACCCGAAAUCGCUUGCAACACUGGGAAAGAUGACAUUCCUACCUCAUACCAUACAUACAGAUGGACGCCAGAUAUAUUUAUUAACGACUUAAAUGUAAAGGCAUCUGGAAUUCUAAAAUCAUUUCUAUAGAGGAGAGAAUAUGUCUGACGUUGAUGUGUGGAAAUCCUCCUUAAAAGAGAGACUCCACAGCAAAAUGAAAAAUAUCGAUCACAUUUAGAUUUAUGACACAAGAGAUCAAAAACUAAGCUAAAAAAAUAAGCACAAACUGGAUGAGAUACUACUGAUAUCCAGGCAAAGAUGAAUGGCCCGGAAUGUACCGAGAGACUGCGCCAGUGCCAAAGAGACAGACACACAGCCCAACAGAAAAUGGCAAAACUGGGAAUAGCAGUCUGCAGAGGAGAAGUACGAGUGACCGGUGAACACACAAACAGGGCUUUCCAUCACCGGCAAUCAGAGAUGCAAACUGAAACAGCUCUUGUACAACGCAACGUGGUUGGCGAUAGGAAAGUGUGCAACAGAGAAGGGUGUGUAAAUCAACCGUGGGCACAGCUGCUUUGGAAGCAAGCUGGCAUUGUCUUAAAAGCUACAGCUUACUUCCAAUUCAACUCCUAGCUCUCCAGCCUAGAGAAACCCUCACGUUAAGUGUACUAGGAUUCCUACGCGUUACAACAUUGUUUAUUUGAAAAAAUCAAAACAAAACAGAGAACAUCCAAACACCACAGAAGGGAGAACGAGCUGACCUGUCAGCCUUUUACACCAUGGAACGUUCGGUGUCGUGAAAAUCCUAAGAUGGGCAGCUCCGAGACCCUCAAGGCCCUGGAGCCAGAGGUGACCUUGACUGUGGCCCAGCAGGAGGGUGACCUUGAGGUUCUGCUCUGUGCGCUGCUUGGCGCUGUCUCAGUCACAUGGAGGAUCCCCAAGUGGAGGGCCCAGAGCUCAGCACAGCCCCAGGCUGGACCCUCGCUGCCCGCAUGUGGGCAGAGCACUUCCGGCUGUCACUUCCUGGGGAUGCCUCCCUGCCUCACUGGACCGUCCAAACCCGCCCAGCAGCCACGGUGCUCACUAGGCCCUUUGGGCACUUUCAGAGACCCCCAUGCCCGUGGGAGCGCCCAUUUAAUGGGUUCUCUUGGAGUGCAGCCAAUCUCUGGGGGCGCCGGGAACCACAGCUCUGAUGCACUCCCCAGAUCUCUUUGGUGAGAACUCCCUGGAGUUCUCUGUAAAAUUCAGAUUCCUGGGCCCCAGUCCAGACUAAGUCCACCCCUUCCUGGUUCUUGCUGUUUACACAGCUGUUCAACACCCUCCGCCUUCCCCACUAAACCUUACCCAGUUCUGACUUCGCUCAGCCCUGCAUCCCAAUGCCUGGCAUAUCGUCGGUGCUCAAGAGGUGUUUGUUGAAUGAAUAAAUGA